rnacentral:rRNA from 1 species
AGCGAACGCUGGCGGCAUGCUUAACACAUGCAAGUCGCACGGAUCUUUCGGGGUUAGUGGCGGACGGGUGAGUAACACGUGGGAACGUGCCUUUAGGUUCGGAAUAACUCAGGGAAACUUGUGCUAAUACCGAAUGUGCCCUUCGGGGGAAAGAUUUAUCGCCUUUAGAGCGGCCCGCGUCUGAUUAGCUAGUUGGUUGAGGUAAUGGCUCACCAAGGCGACGAUCAGUAGCUGGUCUGAGAGGAUGAUCAGCCACAUUGGGACUGAGACACGGCCCAAACUCCUACGGGAGGCAGCAGUGGGGAAUCUUGCGCAAUGGGCGAAAGCCUGACGCAGCCAUGCCGCGUGAAUGAUGAAGGUCUUAGGAUUGUAAAAUUCUUUCACCGGGGACGAUAAUGACGGUACCCGGAGAAGAAGCCCCGGCUAACUUCGUG